rnacentral:rRNA from 1 species
UCCGGAGGGUGCAAUCGUUGUUCGGAAUUACUGGGCGUAAAGGGCGUGUAGGUGGUUGACUAAGUCAGGUGUGAAAGCCCUCAGAUCAACUGAGGAAGCGCAUCUGAAACUGGUUAACUUGAGUACGGGAGAGGAGAGUGGAAUUCCUGGUGUAGAGGUGAAAUUCGUAGAUAUCAGGAGGAACAUCGGUGGCGAAGGCGACUCUCUGGACCGAUACUGACACUGAGACGCGAAAGCGUGGGGAGCAAACAGG